UGGUACGGCACAGGAUGAAAUAAAAAUCGCAUGUGCUGCAGCUGCACAGUAAUAUGUGUGGUAUAUGUAUGCAUGGGGCAUAUUUCUAUUCCCGUUCGACUGGGUGUUGACCCCUGCCAGUAUAGGACUACACCUGUAAGGCGAUUAUUCCAUCAGGAGAGGGAAUACGUGUGUACCUGUGAGGUCAUACCCAUACAGAAAUAGGGGAUGUGGCGUGGUCGCUCUGUGGGAAAGUGGGGCAAAUGCGGCCAAUGUUGUCGAAAUAUCCCGAUUGCGAAAAUUACAUCCACGACUCAACUGCAGCUCGGUGUAAUGCCUACAUGGUCGUAGCUAUGGACACGUAGAUAGUGUAAAGCUGCAGCAAAAGAAAGGAAAAAUAUAAAGAGAGAAAAAGGAUACCGAUGUUUUACGAUUCUCCUACGGUUGUUAAAUAGCACCUACAGUCAUCGUAUCGUACGUACGUACAACUCCGUGUACGCCGCACUCCGUGACGGAACUUUUGCCAAUGCGUUAAUGUGACGUAAUUGGUACGGGAUGCCCUGUGCACAGGGUGAGUCACCUCAAACUCCGAGAGUGGGAAGAGCCUCUUUCGGGUUUCUUGUUCGGUCAACGCGCCGCACAGGAGAAAAAGUUUGCGAAACCUCAUUCAAAUCCAUGU